UACGUAGGGGGCGAGCGUUGUCCGGAGUUACUGGGCGUAAAGGGCAUGCAGGCGGUCCGAUCAGUUUGGGGUUACAGCUCCCGGCUCAACUGGGAGAGCGCCUCAAAGACGGUGGGACUUGAGAGCCAGAGAGGGACACAGAAUUCCGGGUGUAGUGGUGAAAUGCGUAGAUAUCCGGAGGAAUACCAAAGGCGAAGGCAGUGUCCUGGCUGGUAUCUGACGCUGAGGUGCGAAAGCUAGGGGAGCGAACGGG
rnacentral:rRNA from 1 species